rnacentral:rRNA from 1 species
GAUAGUGGGGGAUAACCUGGGGAAACCCAGGCUAAUACCGCAUACGUCCUACGGGAGAAAGGGGGCUUCGGCUCCCGCUAUCGGAUGAGCCUAUGUCGGAUUAGCUGGUUGGUGAGGUAAAGGCUCACCAAGGCGACGAUCCGUAGCUGGUCUGAGAGGAUGAUCAGCCACAUCGGGACUGAGACACGGCCCGAACUCUUACGGGAGGCAGCAGUGGGGAAUAUUGGACAAUGGGGGCAACCCUGAUCCAGCCAUGCCGCGUGUGUGAAGAAGGCCCUCGGGUUGUAAAGCACUUUCAGUGAGGAAG